rnacentral:rRNA from 1 species
AACGAACGCUGGCGGCAGGCUUAACACAUGCAAGUCGAGCGCCCCGCAAGGGGAGCGGCAGACGGGUGAGUAACGCGUGGGAAUCUACCCAUCUCUACGGAAUAACGCAUGGAAACGUGUGCUAAUACCGUAUACGUCCUUCGGGAGAAAGAUUUAUCGGAGAUGGAUGAGCCCGCGUUGGAUUAGCUAGUUGGUGGGGUAAAGGCCUACCAAGGCGACGAUCCAUAGCUGGUCUGAGAGGAUGAUCAGCCACACUGGGACUGAGACACGGCCCAGACUCCUACGGGAGGCAGCAGUGGGGAAUAUUGGACAAUGGGGGCAAGCCUGAGCCAGCCAUGCCGCGUGAGUGAUGAAGGCCCUAGGGUUGUAAGCUCUUUCACCGGUGAAGAUAAUGACGGUAACCGGAGAAGAAGCCCCGGCUAACUUCGUGCCAGCAGCCGCCGUAACAC